rnacentral:rRNA from 1 species
AGCGAACGCUGGCGGCAGGCUUAACACAUGCAAGUCGAACGCCCCGCAAGGGGAGUGGCAGACGGGUGAGUAACACGUGGGAACGUACCCUUUGGUUCGGAAUAACUUGGGGAAACUCAAGCUAAUACCGGAUAAGCCCUUAUGGGGAAAGGUUUACUGCCGAAGGAUCGGCCCGCGUCUGAUUAGCUAGUUGGUGAGGUAAUGGCUCAACAAGGCGACGAUCAGUAGCUGGUCUGAGAGGAUGAUCAGCCACACUAGGACUGAGACACGGCCCAGACUCCUACGGGAGGCAGCAGUGGGGAAUAUUGGACAAUGGGGGCAACCCUGAUCCAGCCAUGCCGCGUGAGUGAUGAAGGCCUUAGGGUUGUAAAGCUCUUUUACCCGGGACGAUAAUGACUGUACCGGGAGAAUAAGCCCCGGCUAACUUCGUGCCAGCCGCCGCGGUAA